rnacentral:rRNA from 1 species
UACGUAGGGUGCAAGCGUUAAUCGGAAUUACUGGGCGUAAAGAGCUCGUAGGCGGUUUGUCGCGUCUGCCGUGAAAGUCCGGGGCUCAACUCUGGAUCUGCGGUGGGUACGGGCAGACUAGAGUGAUGUAGGGGAGACUGGAAUUCCUGGUGUAGCGGUGAAAUGCGCAGAUAUCAGGAGGAACACCGAUGGCGAAGGCAGGUCUCUGGGCAUUAACUGACGCUGAGGAGCGAAAGCAUGGGGAGCGAACAGG